UACGUAAGGGGCAAGCGUUGUCCGGAAUCAUUGGGCGUAAAGUGUGCGCAGGCGGUCUGUUAAGACCGAUGUGAAAUCCCCGGGCUUAACCUGGGAACUGCAUUGGUGACUGGCAGGCUUUGAGUGUGGCAGAGGGAGGUAGAAUUCCACGUGUAGCAGUGAAAUGCGUAGAGAUGUGGAGGAAUACCGAUGGCGAAGGCAGCCUCCUGGGCCAACACUGACGCUCAUGCACGAAAGCGUGGGGAGCAAACAGG
rnacentral:rRNA from 1 species